rnacentral:rRNA from 1 species
ACGGGUGAGUAACACGUGGGCAACCUGCCUGUAAGACUGGGAUAACUUCGGGAAACCGAAGCUAAUACCGGAUAGGAUCUUCUCCUUCAUGGGAGAUGAUUGAAAGAUGGUUUCGGCUAUCACUUACAGAUGGGCCCGCGGUGCGUUAGCUAGUUGGUGAGGUAACGGCUCACCAAGGCAACGAUGCAUAGCCGACCUGAGAGGGUGAUCGGCCACACUGGGACUGAGACACGGCCCAGACUCCUACGGGAGGCAGCAGUAGGGAAUCUUCCGCAAUGGACGAAAGUCUGACGGAGCAACGCCGCGUGAGUGAUGAAGGCUUUCGGGUCGUAAAACUCUGUUGUUAGGGAAGAACAAGUACGAGAGUAACUGCUCGUACCUUGACGGUACCUAACCAGAAAGCCACGGCUAACUACGUGCCAGCAGCCGCGGUAAUACGUAGGUGGCAAGCGUUAUCCGGAAUUAUUGGGCGUAAAGCGCGCGCAGGCGGUUUCUUAAGUCUGAUGUGAAAGCCCACGGCUCAACCGUGGAGGGUCAUUGGAAACUGGGGAACUUGAGUGCAGAAGAGAAAAGCGGAA